rnacentral:rRNA from 1 species
UGGGGAAUUUUGGACAAUGGACGCAAGUCUGAUCCAGCCAUGCCGCGUGCGGGAAGAAGGCCUUCGGGUUGUAAACCGCUUUUGUCAGGGAAGAAACGAGUUUCUCUAAUACAGAGACUUAAUGACGGUACCUGAAGAAUAAGCACCGGCUAACUACGUGCCAGCAGCCGCGGUAAUACGUAGGGUGCAAGCGUUACUCGGUAUUACUGGGCGUAAAGCGUGAGUAGGUGGUUUCUUAAGUCUGCUGUGAAAGCCCCGGGCUCAACCUGGGAAUUGCAGUGGAUACUGGGAAGCUAGAGUGUGUCAGAGGGGGGUGGAAUUCCACGUGUAGCAGUGAAAUGCGUAGAUAUGCGGAGGAACACCGAUGGCGAAGGCAAUCCCCUGGACCUGCACUGACGCUCAUGCACGAAAGCGUGGGGAGCAAACA